rnacentral:rRNA from 1 species
AAAGAGAGCAAUCUUGGUUACAGACGAGCAUGCGCUCCAUUAGCCAGUUGGCGGGGUAACGGCCCACCAAGGCGACGAUGGAUAGGGGUUCUGAGAGGAAGGUCCCCCACAUUGGAACUGAGACACGGUCCAAACUCCUACGGGAGGCAGCAGUGAGGAAUAUUGGUCAAUGGUCGGCAGACUGAACCAGCCAAGUCGCGUGAGGGAAGACGGCCCUACGGGUUGUAAACCUCUUUUGUCGGAGAGUAAAGUACGCUACGCGUAGCGUAUUGCAAGUAUCCGAAGAAAAAGCAUCGGCUAACUCCGUGCCAGCAGCCGCGGUAAUACGGAGGAUGCGAGCGUUAUCCGGAUUUAUUGGGUUUAAAGGGUGCGUAGGCGGCACGCCAAGUCAGCGGUGAAAUUUCCGGGCUCAACCCGGACUGUGCCGUUGAAACUGGCGAGCUAGAGUGCACAAGAGGCAGGCGGAAUGCGUGGUGUAGCGGUGAAAUGCAUAGAUAUCACGCAGAACCCCGAUUGCGAAGGCAGCCUGCUAGGGUGCGACAGACGCUGAGGCACGAAAGCGUGGGUAUCGAACAGGAUUAGAUACCCUGGUAGUCCACGCAGUAAACGAUGAAUACUAACUGUUUGCGAUACAAUGUAAGCGGUACAGCGAAAGCGUUAAGUAUUCCACCUGGGGAGUA